rnacentral:lncRNA from 1 species
GGGGAGGCCCAGUCUACUCCUGGUAAGAAGCUGUGUCCCUCCCCAAAAGUUGGGGAUAGGCACAGUUUAAAGGAGAGGACAUGUUGCGGAAAAGGAUAGUCACAUGAUCAUAAAAGCAUGAGGGGUGGUUGGAGGUCAUGUUCCCAGAAGGCUCCAGUGAAUCAAACCAAUAAAAGCAAAAGCCCAGGGAAGAGAAUGGGGGCGGCUGGGGAAAUCUGGCUGGAGGAGCUGGUCCAGGGUAGGUGGCCCCCAGCCCGGCCAUCACCAGUUCAUAAUGCAGUUCCGGUUCAGGGUCAUGAAGUAAACUUGGCUGCUGCCCACAGAGUGGACAGAGGCAAAAAAUACCUUGUCAUUCUGCUCACACUGGAACUUGAGCCUCUGGGCCCUUUUGUGCAUGAAGACCCUAUCCAGGUGUCCUGUCUCCACAGAACAGAUCUCAAUGGCUUUCUCACCCCAGCCCAUUAUCUGGCUGGGGCAGAUGUAGGCCACAAAUGUGGGCAUCUCUCCCCACUGCAGCACCACAUCUUUAAUGAUCCGCCCGUACGUGUUGACAUAGACACCCUCAUCUUCAUAGCAUAGCAGCAUCUCCAUGCCAUCGGUGUUGGGGAGGAAGAUGACGGCAUGGCCAUCAUCUCUGAUUUGGCUUUGGAUAUGCACAGGGAUGUAGAUGUCAUAGCUGUUCCCCGAGUCAACAUCCAUAGCAUGGAAGUCAGCACUGGAGACAUAGAUGACCUUAAACUGCUGUCCCUCCUCUACCGUCAGGUCAACCAGCAGAGGGUGGUGAGGGAGGUCAGCAAAAGACUUGAAGGCCAUGAAUUUGUGGUAGGGUUUGGGGGCCCAGGCAUACACCUCCACGGAGUUCUUCAGGACAAUAACGAGGAACUUAAUGUGCUCGUAUUUCACAACACGGUAGUGUCCGCAGCCCUCCAUGUCCCCCGCAGUGGUCCAGCCCUACUUCUUCUCCACCUCUGAGUCAUUGUGCAGGAUCUUGUUCCGGAGCCAGGACAGAUGAAGGGAAGCUUCAGUAGCUGCUCGGUUGGCGGUCGGCUCAGGUCGAUCACUGAACCAGCACCACAGAACUCCAUCACCAGCCAGAGCUGGCCAUCAGUCCCAGGGGCGCUCUUCUUGAUGAAGGCCCCAUAGUAGGUGGCAAUGUUGUGGAGGUUCUAUUGCCAACCACCUCCACCAGCUCAAAGAUCCCAGCAGGGCCCGCAGGGCGGACAGGUCGAUGUCGUCCAGGCUGCAGGCGGGGGCCAGGUCAUCCAUGGCCUCCGCAGUGAACCGAGCCACGGGGCUGCUCACCCUCUGGCUCGGUUAUUCCACUGCUGCUGUUGCCGCUUCUCUCUCAUUGGGGGAGCCUGAGGGCGGACUAAACUGCACCUCCCCCAGGAGAAGGAGAAAGAAAGUGGGCCAGCAGGAGGACCGAUCCAAGACUGACAGGAGCUAUCUCCCCAGAGUUGGCAACCCAAGCUUCUCGACUCUCCAGCGCAGGCCCUAGCAUUUGUUAUUGAUUGAUUUCUUCAUAAUAAACAUGCUUCCUAGAGUGAGAUGGAAUCUUAGCAUUGUUUUAAUUUGCAUGUCUCAAAUGACCAGCGAUGUUGAACAUUUUUUAUAUAUAUUCAUUUGGUGUUUCUACUUCUUC